UUUCAUCUUUAUUCUUGUCUUUAAAAUAUGAUUUGGAAUGCACAAAGCAUUAAACAAGCCUGUUUACAAUCACACAUGUUAUUGAUGAAUAAAGGAUAUACAAA